rnacentral:rRNA from 1 species
UACGUAGGGUGCAAGCGUUACUCGGAAUUACUGGGCGUAAAGCGUGCGCAGGCGGUUAUGUAAGACAGAUGUGAAAUGCCCGGGCUUAACCUGGGAACUGCAUUUGUGACUGCAUGGCUAGAGUGUGUCAGAGGGGGGUAGAAUUCCACGUGUAGCAGUGAAAUGCGUAGAUAUGUGGAGGAACACCGAUGGCGAAGGCAGCCCCCUGGGAUAACACUGACGCUCAUGCACGAAAGCGUGGGGAGCAAGCAGG